AUUGAACGCUGGCGGCAGGCCUAACACAUGCAAGUCGAGCGGGGUUUUCGGACCUAGCGGCGGACGGGUGAGUAAUGCGUAGGAAGCUACCCGAUAGAGGGGGAUACCAGUUGGAAACGACUGUUAAUACCGCAUAAUGUCUACGGACCAAAGUGUGGGACCUUCGGGCCACAUGCUAUCGGAUGUGCCUACGUGGGAUUAGCUAGUUGGUGAGGUAAUGGCUCACCAAGGCGACGAUCCCUAGCUGGUUUGAGAGGAUGAUCAGCCACACUGGAACUGGGACACGGUCCAGACUCCUACGGGAGGCAGCAGUGGGGAAUAUUGGACAAUGGGCGCAAGCCUGAUCCAGCCAUGCCGCGUGUGUGAAGAAGGCCUUCGGGUUGUAAAGCACUUUCAGUAAGGAGGAAGCGUUGAGUGUUAAUAGUACUCAGCGUUGACGUUACUUACAGAAGAAGCACCGGCUAACUCUGUGCCAGCCGCCGCAGUAAGAC
rnacentral:rRNA from 1 species